rnacentral:rRNA from 1 species
AACGAACGUUGGCGGCGUGGAUUAGGCAUGCAAGUCGAACGCGAACCGCUGGGCAACUGGCGGGGAGAGUGGCGAAAGGGGCAGUAAGGCGUGGGUAACGUACCCCCCGGACCGGGAUAGCCACGGGAAACUGUGGGUAAUACCGGGCGACGUAGCGGAGUCGCAUGGCUCUGCUACCAAAGGUCCGCCGCCGGGGGAGCGGCUCACGUGCUAUUAGCUUGUUGGCGGGGUAACGGCCCACCAAGGCGAAGAUGGCUAGCGGGUGUGAGAGCAUGACCCGCGCCACUGGCACUGAGACACUGGCCAGACACCUACGGGUGGCUGCAGUCGAGGAUCUUCGGCAAUGGGCGCAAGCCUGACCGAGCGACGCCGCGUGCGGGAUGAAGGCCUUCGGGUUGUAAACCGCUGUCGAGGGGGAGGAAGCCGCAAGGUUGACCUAUCCCUGGAGGAAGCACGGGCUAAGUUCGUGCCAGCAGCCGCCGUAACAC